rnacentral:RNase_P_RNA from 1 species
GCACGGUAAACCCCACUCGGAGCAAGACCAAAUAGGGGAACGAUAACGCGGCCCGCGUUGUUCCCGGGUAGGUUGCUGGAGCCAGGCGGCGACGCCUGGCCGAGAGGAAUGACUGUCGCGCCGCAAGGCGUACAGAACCCGGCUUACAGGCCGACUCCACCU